UGUCUUUGCAUGUGAGCUGGAACUCUUGAAGAUAGCAUACCUCUGGCCUUGUUUUUUAUCCAGAUUGCCAAUCUCUAUGCUUUAAUUGGGGCAUUUAGCCCAUUUACAUUUCAGAUGAUGAGACCAACCCCUCCUCUCCCUCUGCCUCCUCAGCCUACUCAAUGUAAAGAGGAUGAAGACGUUUAUGAUGAUCCACUUCUACUUAAUCAAUAGUCCCUGAGGAUCAACCUCCAAAUACCAUCAUAUUGGUGUCAGAAUUUCAAUAAAUAUAUUUUGAUAAGGAAAGGAGGUGCCAUUUUCUAUAUGUUUCUCUAUACCAAAUUUAUAAUUCCCUCAUAUUUCUGACUGCCCUUGACAUCCAGUGGCUUGGUGGUUUCUUGGAUCUUUUUGGAUGUGUCAUGAACCAAAGCAACAUAAGCUGGGCCACAGCAACAUAAAUGGUGAGUAACA
rnacentral:lncRNA from 1 species